GCAAGUCGAGCGCACCUUCGGGUGAGCGGCGGACGGGUUAGUAACGCGUGGGAAUAUACCCGACUCUAAGGAAUAGCCACUGGAAACGGUGAGUAAUACCUUAUACGCCCUUCGGGGGAAAGAUUUAUCGGAGAUGGAUUGGCCCGCGUAAGAUUAGAUAGUUGGUGGGGUAAUGGCCUACCAAGUCUACGAUCUUUAGCUGGUUUUAGAGGAUGAUC
rnacentral:rRNA from 1 species